rnacentral:lncRNA from 1 species
AUUUUUUAUUUAUAUAUAAGCAUGGCCUUAUGGAUAUCUAUUUUAUACUUUAGUUUAUACUCCAAUAUUUAAAUUUUUUAAUCCAAUAUUUAUUUUGUUCCUCAAAUUCUUCCAGCUAUGGCCAUUGUGAACUUUUUCAGUUGGAUCCCUUUGGUUUUAAGCAAUUUAUUUCUCUGUGGCACUACAAGGGAGCAUAGUUUUUUAGGUGGCCUGGAGAAUCUUCAGAAUGAAAUAAAAUUUUGACCUGAACUUUAAAUUACUGGGAUUUUAUGAGAUUCAGAAAUGUCCUCCCUGCAAAGGAGGAAGCACUUUAAAAGCCAAAGCUGUGAUUCUGUGUAGCUGCUUGGAAUGGUGAUUGGAAUCAAAAGAAUGACUGGAAAGAUAAUUUGAAGCUGACUUCUGUUAAGAUUCUUCUAAUUUAGCCUUUCUCUUGAAAUCUCUAGGAGUAUAAAACAAGAAUAUAAACAGAGGCAAUUGGGAGAAAUAUUAGAAAUUAAUAUACACAAUUAAAAGUUGUGUACAGUUAAAGUUAUAUAAAAAGAGGAAACCAUAUCUUCACAAUGAAUUGUAUUUUAUUGCAACUGAGUCCAGAACUAUCACAUUUUGAUAACAUAUCAAAAGUGUAAGAAAAAUAAUUGAGAGGCUGGGAUUUUAUAACUGCUAAAACAGUAUUGAAUAAAACUCCCCCAAGAUGGCAUCUUUGUCAUUCUUACUGUUCAGGGUGGUUAAUGAUCAUGUGAAUUACCAUUAGUGAUAGUGAUUAUUUCAGACUCUCUUUAUACAUAUACAUAUUUAUAAGAGACAUACUUGAUAAGACCUAAGUCAUUUCUAUAGCUAUUCAUUUAAUAGAUCUUAUUUUAGUCUGCUUGUGCUGCUAUAAUAGAAUACCAUAGGCUGGGUAGCUUAAUCAACAGACCUUUAUUUUUCAUGGUUCUGGAAGCCAGAAGUCAAGAUCAAGGUGCCAGUUUUGUGAGUGGGUCCUCUUCCUUGCUUGCGGACAGCUGUCUUUGUUUCCUCACAUGGCAAAGAGAACAUAGUCUCUUUCUCUUCCUCUUCUUAUAAAGCCACAUAUCCCGUCAUGAUGACCCUUCCCAAAGGGUCAUGCUUCCCAAAGGCUCCAUCUCCAGGGCUUCAAAAUAGGAAUUUUGAGAACAAACAAAAACCCCAGGAGUUCCCUUGUGGCUCAGUCCGUUAAAGAUCUGGCACUGUCACUGCAGUGGCUUGGGUUGCUGCCAUGGCGCAAGUUCGAUCCCUGGCCUGGGAACUCCUACAUGCAGUAGGCACAGCCAAAACAAACUAACAACCCCAAAAUAGGAAUUUGGGGGCUGGGGGACACAAUUCUGUCUUUAGGUCUUUAUUACAUAUGUUAACAUAUAGCAUUCAUGUAAAAAGUAAAUUUUACUGACUCCUUUAGUUAGAAUUUGUUUAAAAUAUCUUCACUUAAAACAUUCUAAAAUUGAUAUAUAGCAUUAGAUAGUCAACUUGGUUUCAAACAAAAUACAAUAUGGCUUCACAAAUAAACAACAAAUUGUUAUCAACUUUCGCCACAGGCUGGUAAAGUUGUAUUCUUACAACAGUGUAGCAGCUGUCCAAAUAGAGCUUGCAAACAUUUUAAAUGCCACUUGUUUUACCAAGGUCUCCAUAAAAAAAAUAUUUUUCAAGCUUUCAAAACAAAAUCUUUUAUAGUAGAGUUGAACACUGACAUAAUUGUUUAGAAACUCAUUUAAUACAAGUGCAUAUUAUUUUUAAUUACAAGACAUUUUUAAUAAACUUACUAAGUAUGGAUGUUCUAAUAUCUCAUGAGAGUGCAUGACACUGCCAUCUAUCCAUGGGUGCCAAAGGAAGAAAACUGGAAGGGUCAUUGUUUUAUUUGAACUUAUUAUGAGUAUAUCAUCAUCAAAAGAUCAAUGAUAUCUGCCUAUUAUUUACAUCCUUUUAGAAGAAUUUCAUACUCAAAAAUUUACUUUAUGAAUUAUGCUUUUAUAGAAAAUUUCUAAUUGGAAAGAAAACUCCAUACUACCAUAGUAAUUUCCCAUAACUCAUGUUCUUCUUACAAUUGUGUAAUUUACAGUUUCUCUUCUUCUUGAACAGGAUUAAAGUCAUAUCUCAUGGUUGAUUAGAUAGCCCUUUUGUACCCUCAGUUUCAAGGAAAUAAAUGAGAACAAUUUUCCCUUCAGUAGACUAAUAGUGGAUAAACAAGCAGAUACACAAACUUGCUUUAAAAGGUUAGCCAUAAUCAGCCUGUGUGGCUAUGGCAGUAUCUUAAACAUAUAUACAGGAAUAAACCUGAUUAAGAAUACCUAUUAUUUUUUAUACUAGUUCCUCUGGAUUAUAACCCUAUGCCCUUGGAAUUUUCAAAGAAAAUGGAGACUUUAUAGAUAUCUUUUCAAAGAUUAUGUUAAAAAUAGCAAACUCUCUCACUGUACCCAUCCAGGGUCCAAAUUUAUUUUUAAAGAUUUUCCAUUUAUCUCCUAAAAUAUUACAUAGUUUUUUGGGGAACUUGUAUUUGUUUGACAUAUUCCCUUCUCUGAUUUCAAUCCCAUACACUACAAAAAUAAAUAGUUUUCAGUUAAAGAUUACAGUUAAUGUAGUGAGCUUUGAAAAGGUCAAAACCUGAGUCUAGGCUUCACCCAUAACGGCCUUUAUAGAAUUUCAUUUCUUUAUCAAUGCUGUGUUUGUUCUUAGGUGGUAAAGAUAGAAUCAGUCAGAGAGAAAAAUAAUAUAAAAUAGUUUAGGUUUCUUAUUUUCUCAAACCAAAAUCAUUGAUAACAGAAAGGACUUCUGGUUAGUUUUUGCCAUAUCCAAAAGGAAGUUUACCUUGCCAAUAUGUUAUUUGCGAUAGCACUGCUUCCUUGGUACAGUACCCAAGAGAAGGCUGUAGCCCUUUUCUUGUAAUAUAUAACCCACACAGCAGGAAGAAGGCAGGAAGAAAUGUACUUUUGAAAUAGAUUUUAAACUUUGAAAAAAUAUGAAUCUAUCUGGAUUGAUGGUACAUUUGUAUGUACAUUAUCUUUGUGUACUCAAAUGUGGCAUCUGUCUUUAUUCUGACAGUAUAUCUCAUGAACAUACAAAUUGAGCAAGUUUCAGAUCCGAAGUAAUCAAGUUCUGACAACCUCAGCAAUCUUUCUGUUUUAGGGUAAGUGACAUAUCUGUCCUCCUGGAUAAAGCCAAAACUAAUAGAUGAGAAUGUUAACAUCUUUCAUCCUUUAUAUCUAUCCAGAGAUAAUUCAGAGGACAAAGGAGAUACUGUGUACCACAUUAGGGCUUGUUUUGAUCAUUCUUUAGAUAAUUAAGUAGAGAGAGGUGAAUAUGAAAUAUGACAAAGCUAAUAUUUAUUUUCAGCAAUAAUAUUUUUACUUGAAAGACUUCCUUUGGUGAGGGAGUUUCUUACCAACUCAUUUGUAUAUUAUAUUUCUAAUUAAAUGAAAAGUAGCAGUUCACUGUGUGAUUAUGUACCCUGCUGAGGCUUCUGAGAACAUCUUUUCCAAAAAGACAGUCUCUAAUUGGUCACAUACCUAUUCUCUUGAAAAAUAACCAAAUGGGAAACUCAGGCAUUCAAAAGGUAAUGUAAGAAGCGACUACAGACCUAAGAUUCCUUUUACUGCUGAAAUCAGUUUAUUGAAAGACAAGAAUAUUUGAGGUUACGUGAAGGGUUUUUAUUUUGCUUAUUAAGUAAAAAAUUAUAGAAGCUACCUGAAGAUCAUUCCCAUGGUGGUAUUGAAAAUGCAUUUUCUUCCCUUUUCUACUUUUUCUGAAUUACUUUCUUUUCCUAUUAUGUCCUAAUUCUACAAUAUCAUUUAAGACAAGGGAUACAAUAUCAAUAUUAGUAUUUCUUCAUUCUGUAUAUGGUGAGUGAAUGCAUUUUUCCUUUUUCUUCAUCCCGCCCAUAAUUUAUGGUAACAUUGAGCUUUGGAUUUAUUGAGCAGACAUGAAGAUACUACUAUAUCAAGAGUAACAAAUCUCAUGUUUCUGGCUUUUAUACCACAUUUUGAUAAAGAACCCUUUUUCCCUUUCAAGGGGUACUGUUUCUUCAUUGUCAGAGGGCUUGUUGUAAAGAUCAUUAAAAAUCUUUGAAGAUCACUAAAAUAUAAUGUAUAGACUGGUGAUAUACUAGAGAUAAUCAGAGUUCAGGAUUUGGAGCCAGUUAGGUUUACAUUUCAGCCCCAAUAUUUUUCACUAGUGUAUAUGUGAAUGUAACAUAAUGUAUGCAUAUAAUGAAUGUAACAUUAAUGACUACUUUUACAUUUAGGACACUGUUGAAAAAAUGUUUGAUCUUUUGACAGCACACAUGAACUACUUUUUUAAAAAGAUAGUUAAUUAUGCAGAAAGUAGAAAAGGAUUUGGCAGAAAGAUAUGUUAGUCAAGCUCUUUAAGAUUGCAAGAGACAAAUACCCAGUUAUUUUUAGUUUUGGGGAUUUGUUAUAACAGUAUGCAAGAAUGAUUUAUUAUUAAUGGCUGCUUCAUCAACCAUCUAGUCCCAGAUGUUCAGCACUAUUUAUGAAAAUUGGGAAAUUUACUCGGUAUUCCUUUACUUGGCUAAAAUAACCUAUUUCCUCUUUGUAAACGAACACAAUUGCCCAAAUGGAGAAUUUGACUGAGUUGAUCGACUGCUGUCUCAUAUGGAAUAACUCAUGAACGGUUGGCCUUCUUCAUACUCAGCCCAUAUACUAUUGCUUUUAAAUAAAGAGUUGAUGCCUAAUUUUAGGGUGGCAGAGAUGGUUUCAAUCAGAUGUGUCAAAACUGUCAUUACAGCCAAUACAUGAGAGAGAACAUUGAAACUAAUGAUAAAUCAUUAGCAAAUGUAUGCAGUUGUACAAGAAUAGUAUUAAGUAUUGACUAUAGUAUUUUGAUGCUGAUGAGAACAUAUUUUAAUUUGUCUCUGGUCUUGACUUUAUUCCAGUAGAUCUUACAGUGGAUAUUUAAGAAAAAUAUUUUAUUUGUAUGAAAAUGCUUGCUUAUUUGAAACAUUAAACAACUUCAGAAGAUCAUCCUACUGAACUUCUCUGAAGUAUGCAUGUACUGUAAAUCUCCAAAGGUGGAAGGAUUCUCAGUCAAAUUCUCCAUUUGGGCAAUUGUGUUCAGUUUCUCCUUAUAAAACUACUUGUUCUUAGAGUACAAACUGAUAUGCAUUUCCCCUUAGGGUACAAUUUGGGAAACUAUAAUAAUUUGAGGGGCAAUAUGUCAUUUUGUUGGUUUUAAAGUAAUAUUCAUACUCCCUUUACUAAUCCCUAUUUGACUAAAGUAUUACAAAACCAAAUUAUAUAAUCUUGAUAAUCAUGGGAAUUUAUAGUAACAUUGGAUUGCUUCAUUCUUCUAAUUUAUCCUAAAUAAUUUAGAUUGCCUUCAUUUUAUCCAAGAAUACCUCUGGCAUUCAUUGUUCCACACGUAGUUGAAGUAUAGUGUUCCUAGAUUAUUUCUAAGCAGGAUUUUGGAAACUUUGAAGGAGCCAUGGGAAUCUUGUAUUAAGGUCUGUGUUUUUUGGUCAUUGCAGGAAUUACACUUUGCAGACUAAGGCAUAUAUUGUUUAUCAGAGAGCUGAUUUUUAUAACUUUCUUCAGAAAGAGUUUUGGCAAGCAUUUUGAGGUUUUAUAGGUAUUAUCUUGAGCCCUAUAGUACAAAGAAGAAGCAUAUUCACAGAGGGAUAAUAGCUUUUGGCUUAUUUAUUUAGUAAUUUUUGGAAGAAGGGCAAAAUUAAUGGAGCGUGAUUCCAGAUUAGUGAAGAGAGGAUGAAAUGGUCCAGUGGUUCUGCCACAUUUGAAAUCUAAAUAAAGUUUGAGAAUUCCUAAGAAUGAGCUAGUUACUAUAAAAUCUGGCCAUCCACAUCCUUAUUGUUUUUGUUUGUUUGUUUGUUUUUUGUUUUUUUCCUUUUUUAGGGCCACAUCUGUGGCAUAUGGAUGUUCCCAGGCUAGGGACCAAAGUGGAACUGCAGCUGCUGGCCCAGGCUACAGCUACAGCAAUACCAGAUCCAAGCAGCAUCUGUGACCUGUGCUGCAGCUUGUGGCAACUCUGGAUCCUUACUGAGCGAGGUCAGGGAGUGAACCCACAUCCUUUCAUGCACUACGUUGCGUUCUUAACCCACUGAGCCACAAUGGGAACUCCCUUAUUGGAUUUUAACACUAAAAGUCUUGUAUCCCAGGCCUCUAAUUUGCAUGACCAACUUGUUUCACUUUUCUAAAAACUGUCUUGGAUUUACAACUCAAAGUCCCACAUUUCGGGAACUUGUUCAGUCCCAGGGGAACCAGGACUAUUGGUUUCUUCCUUUUAAGAAAUCUUAGGCCAAAAUCACCCUGCUGAGGUGCUCCUGAAAUCCUAACUUACAAAAAUAAAUAUUGAUUGCUUUAAACCACUGUGUUGCACGGUUUUCUGCAGAGCAACAGUACUCAUUUUACAGUUGAAGAAAUGGAGGCAGACAUUUUAAUUUCUGAAAAACUACUUUUUAUAGAGUUGCUUAGCCCAAUUAUUUAGUAUGAAAAUAUAUUCAGUGUGAUUGUGGACCACAGUUACUUAGUAAGUUAUGUGUGCCAAAGUAUGAGAAAUUUAAAACUAUGAACCAUCAAUAAUUGAGGUUUCAGCAAAGGCCUGAGAUUUGAAA